ACACGCCCGGGAAGCGGCCGCCGCGGAGCCGGCGUCCGCAGCGGCUGCGCAUCUCGGGCCUGCAGCGGGGCGCUUGGCGGGCGGGGGCCGGGGGAGAGCCUGUUUGCGCAGUACCCCCGGAGGGCGGAAGGCCGCCGAGAGAAACAGCAAGUGACAGAGCAGAGGAACGGCUGGCCCAGCCAAUCCUGGAGCUGCUGUUGCAGCACUUGUUCCCCAAACAAGUGCUCCUACAUUCUGAGGACUCAGGAGAGUGCAGCUUGCUCUGUGAGUGGGUGACAACCUCUUGGCGACUCAGGCUCAGCUGAGGAUGGUGCCAGUGUGCCGGAGACAGCCGUCAUACUGCCGGAUAGAGUGGCUCACUUGCAUGUAUUUGGAACAAAAAAAGGAGAUGCCUGGCAGCCCCGCUCUCUGCAGUGCUGUUGAGCCACCAAUUUUUGUGGUUUUGUGACCACAAGUGCUGACUGAUGCGACAUGACCCCAGUCUUGUCAGUGAAUCAUCACCAGGCUGCUUACUGGAAACUGGAUGCAGCAAGGAAAUAGGAUUUAACCGCUCUCUGCCUCCCAGGAGCCCUGAAAUCAGCAUUCCCAGAGGAAAGAAGAUGGCCAUCUGGGCUUGGCUUCCGGCUCCCCCCAUCUGGCUGGAACACACAUCAGUCACGUUUCCUGCCCAAGCCCUCCGAGCAUUUGAAUGUGCUGUGAGCAGCCUACCUCAGCCUCCUCUCUUUACACAUGAAGACACUGAGGCCCAUUCAGGGCAAGUGGCAGGUCCCUGUUCUCAGAGUUGGGGCCAAGCAGGUAUUAAAACCAUUGUGUUCUGAUUCACUGUGUGCCCAAGCAGAUUAAUGCCCUGGUGUGAGGUCGAGAAGCCUCCAGGUAGAAUGUGGGGACAGAAGUGGACCAGGCUAGAGUAUAGCUCCCACACCUUUCCCAUGCGUGGCAGCACUCGUAAGACUGACAUGCCCACCCUUCUGGAUGGGUGGUUUUCCUCCCCAGACAGCCCUGCCAACCCUUUCACCUUCAGCCAGUUUGUUUGGAGUCAUUAGGCUGAGGUGGGUAAAACCCAUCACCCUCCUUGGAUGGCAGAGCUCUCAGCAGGCUGGGAUUUUCAUGGGCUGCCUUCUUACAGGUCUAGGUGGCCUUCAGGCAUGGUGCCAGGGAAAGCAAGCCCCUUCCAGCCCUUACCAAACUAACUGGCUGCUUCCUAGUAGGGAACAGCCACCAGCUUGUUUCAGCGAAGAGUCAUUGCUCAGCUGAUUCUGAGAGGAGAAAACUGGUUCUGUUGGGAGGGCUGAGACCUGAAGGACCCCUUUUAUCCAGUGGAAUUGGAAAGGCAAAGGAUUUCAAUACUAACAUGAUUUUUUUCUCCACUUCUUUUAGAGUGUUUAAUUAAAGUGAUGCAUUGUUAAUGGCUUCUUAUCUCUUCUUCCAGAGAGUAAAGAGUUAAAUUUUAGAAUCCAGGAGUGGGGACCCAGACUGUGGCUUCUGUUAACUCCCUCAGUGGCAGUGGCGUCCUGCUAUGCACAGCCCCUCUGCUGUACUCCGAAUGGUCCCUUACGGGUAGCAGGAGAGACAUUAAAUAAUCACACUGAUGACCAAGUGAGAUAAGUGGUUUUUGAAGGAAAGAACUUGAGGCUGGCGAGGACCACUUAACCUUCUAGCAAGGGCUGGACUCAGGGAGGCUUUCCUGAGCUGCGGGGAGGAUGACAGGUUCCCUGGAGUGGUGGUGGGUGGGGGCGGGGCUGAGGGGUGGUAGCCAAGGGAGGGUGAAGGAGAGUAUUCCAGAAGAGACAACAGCUUAGGCAGGCAGGACCUCGCCAUGGAGGAAGGUGCUUUCUGAUCACUGCGGGACACCUGUGUGAUAGCUCAUAGGGAGGGGGUACUGGUAACUAAAAGUUGAUAAGGAAGAGUGGCUAAAAUGAAAAGCAGAAAAGUGAGAAUCUCAUCAAAUCCCCUCAUUUGACAGGAUUUGGACUCCCAGUAGUAACUGUCCUUAAACACUCACUCCUGACCUUACAACCCUGGCUGUUACCUGGUUAACAAGCCCCAGGUGUUGGCUACAGGUGUCAUCACUGAGAGCCCUUGUGUGCAGAUCUGCCCCAGCUCUCCCACCUGUGACUGAGGCUAGCAAGUCCCCCGUGGGCUGUAGAGCCUAGCGCUGGUGUCAGAAUCGCUUGUUGCAGGUUCAUCUUCAGUGUCUUUCCCACAGCCACAUGCUGGGGAAAGACGGCAAAGGCGCUAGAGGAGCAGGAGAACAAAGCAAGCUGCCCCAGACCACCCGGCUUUCGCAGAACCCAGAUGAUGCUCCUGUCUCCCCCUAAGUAUAACGUGUUAUGUAGUCAGUAUGAUCCCAUUCAGUGCAGAAGUAUCGCCUAGGAAUUUCCUGCCCCACCCACCCUGUUUUGUUCUUAAUGAAGUUCAAGAACAAAAUGAGAUGAUAGUCAAGUUAUGGAGCAGGCUGCAGUGGAUACAAGGGCAGAAACACAGUCUUUGGAGUUAGACCUGGGAUCUGCAUUGAUUGGUUGUGUGACUGCAGACAAGUUAUUUAGCCUCAUUAAGGAUGAAUUUCUUCGCAAAAAUUGGAAUAAUACCUGCCCCAUACGACUGUUGUGAGAAUUAAACACCGCAACUUUUGAUGUUCAAAUUCUAUUUCUUCUCCUUCUAGCAACACAUACUGUUAGUGCCAGGAACCAUAAAAAUUAUAAGGCUGUAUCUAGAGGCCUGAAAGGAAGCUAAAAUAUACAGUGUCUACUCUGUCUCUUUUCUCUUGGUUAUGGUAUCAGAGGAAAUACACAUAUUUUCUUAGCUUCAAACCACCAAAAAAGAUGAUGCAGUAAGGAGAUGGGAAAUCUAAUUUGGAAUACAGUGUGCAAAUCUUAUUUUCAAGCAGACUUUGAAAAUAAAACUCAAUUCUUACGUUAGAGGAUUAUCUGCUUAAUACAAUUAUAGGGUACCAGUUUUUGAAGUCACAUCGGGGUUAAAUAAGAUUGCAGGUUCAUGGGGUCAUAUUUGAAUGUUCUGAUACUUACAUAUGGGGUGGGAAGGAGGAAUGCAUGCUUUUCUCAAGUUAAGACACAUAAAAGAGUUGUCCUGGCCCAGGUGAGACUCGCCUUUGUGUAGCAGCUGGAGCUUCAUUCCACAGGCAGAUAGGGUGCUUGUGUCCUGAUGAAGUAAGAGAAUAUAUCUGGAAACACUUUGUGUACUGUGAAAUACUAUACAAAUGCAGGGCAGUACAAAUGUAAAUAUUAAUGUAUUUUAGUAAUAAUUUUAGCUUUUAUUUCAUCAUAUAUAAUAAUUUGUAGUGACUGGUGUGAAGUUAAAUAGAAUUAACCUAGAAUUAAUGAGUUUUGUAUUGCUCUCAUCUAUUUGAAGCAUCAGCUGUGCCUUUCAUGUUGCCUUGUGCAGCCCUGUGUAACCUCCUCUGUGCCUUUCCCAUGGAGCACUGUGUCAUAUCACAAGUAGAACUACAAGAAGAUAUUUCUCCUCAGGGCAGAGGCUGGGUCUUCCGAUUGAAUCUCCCUUCUUUCUUCAUUGAGAUCCUCUUCUUCUGGAAGCUGGUUUCACAUGGUGGCUUAGAUUUUUCCAUCUUUGUAUCUAGCACCAUUUGAAAUCAGUGUUUUAGGAGUAAGAAUUGCAGCACAGCCAAGGGUGGACUGCAGAGGAACUGCUGCUCAUGGAACUGGCUCCUCUCCUCUUGCCACUUGAGUCUGUUCGAGAAGUCCAGGGAAGAACUUGAAGAGCAAAAUACACUCUUGAGUUUGUUGGGUUUUGGGAGAGGUGACAGUAGAGAAGGGGGUUGUGUUUAAAAUAAACACAGUGGCUUGAGCAGGGGCAGAGGUUGUGAUGCUAUUUCUGUUGACUCCUAGCAGCCAUCACCAGCAUGAAUGUGUUCGUAGGGCCUUUGAGUGUGGCGAUUGUCAUAUUCUGUUGGAUAACAAUGUAUUGGGUGUCGAUUGUCAUGGGGCAGGGGAGAGGGCAGUACACCUGGAGGACCAUUUUGUCCACAUCGACACCAUCAGUCUGCUCUUAGAGGAUGCCCUGGAGUAUUCGGCGUUGAUUGCGGGGCACCCGAAAUCAGACUUGCCACCUGGACUGUCGAGGUGCAGACCCUGGGAGCACCACUGGCCCAUCUCUUACACAGGCUGACCGAUUUCUCCUGGUGUUCAGAGUCUGUUUUUGUCUAGCACCAUUUGAAAUCGGUUAUGAUGUAGGGGGAAAAGCAGCAGCCUCGAAGCCUCAUGCCAACUCUGGGCAGCAGCAGCCUGUGGUUUCCUGGAAGAUGGAUGGGCAGAGAAUAGGGAAGGAAGAUCAUGCUUUUCCCUACUAACUUCUGUAACUGCAUGUAUGAUACAUUAUUGCAGAGGUAAGAGAUAGUUUAAUGGAUUUUUAAAAACAAAUUACUAUAAUUUAUCUGAUGUUCUCUAGUUGCAUUUUGCUGAAAUGUAGUGCUGUUCUAAAUUCUGUAAAUUGAUUGCUGUUGAAUUAUCUUUCUGUUGAGAAGAGUCUAUUCAUGCAUCCUGACCUUAAUAAAUACUAUGUUCAGUUUAUCAUGUCUGUGUUUUUCAUCUAUUAUUUCCCAUUCAUAAUUCUGUGAUGAUAAGAAGUGGGUCCUGAAAAAUUAAUUGGCUGUGCAGAUCUUGCCUACUUCAUAAAGAAUUUGAAGUAGGUUACAGCCAGCCAGACAUUAAAAAUGAAGCCCAUUAAGAGAAGAAUGAAAUUCUAUGAGCCAAGAAAUAAAAUGAGAGAAAAGAUUAGGGAAGAGAAGAAAUGUUGAAGAUCAAGGCUGAGGGAUGCUCCCUACUGAAUGGGAAAACUCCUUAGUUCCACAUGGGCUGUAGACACAGCCCUUCUGCCAGCAACUGUUCCUGCAAGGAACUGGUGCUCAACUAAACAUACUGUCACAUGGUUCCUUGAAGGGGCACAGCACUGAUUUCACUUGCAUUAUAAAAGAUUGAGUGGUGCUUUUGACUAUUAGUUUAUGUCAACACUUCAAAACAAGAUGAGCCAGUUUUUUUUUGUUUUUUUUUUUUGUUUGUUUGUUUGUUUUAGACGGAGUCUCACCCUGUCACCCAGGCUGGAGUGCAAUGGCACUGUCCCCGCUCACUGCAACCUCCGCCUCCCGGGUUCAAGCAAUUCUGCCUCAGCCUUCCGAGUAGCUGGGAUUACAGGCGUGGCACCUCCACGCCCAGCUAAUUUCUGUAUUUUGUAGUAGAGACGGGGUUUCAUCAUGUUGGCCAGGCUUGUCUCGAACUGCUGACCCCGUGAUCCACCCACCUCAGCCUCCCAAAGUGCUGGGAUUACAGGCGUGAACCACCUCGCCUGGCCCAGUGAGCCAGUUUUGUAAAGCUAUUCAGAGAUUAGCCAGAUUUGAUUUGAUAGGGGAUCAAGCUUGUAGGAUCUUCAGGAAGGCGGGCUGUGGCCCCUUGAUCAGGCUUUUUGCACAGGAGGUGCAUGACUAUGAACUACCCUCAGUAGAACUCUUUUAAGCCAGUGGCUUGCAAUAAAUGAUGGCAAAUCAGCCACCUAGGAAGCCAUUUCUAAGCCCAACCCCCUGCCACAGUCUUCCUCUAGAUGGCUGCCCUGCCCAGUGGGCUGAGAGUGGGGGGCGGAAGUAGCAUUUGCUGGGAAGACUUGCCAGUACAUAUGUUGCACCCCCUCACUGCAGCUGCAGUGCUAUUUCAGGCUGUUGAUGGAAGAACCCAUGUUCUAAUCCCCAGGAUGUGGUGGGAAGACCCUAAGUGGUGGUGUUAGUUAAGACCCUAAGUUAUAUUGUUUUGUUCACUUCCCACUGAGAUAGGCUACAAUAGUAUUAAAUACCUAUAGGUCAGACAUUUUUGGGGUCUGUUGUACUACCUACCAAUUAAACAGUUUUUGAUCCGCCCACCACGCUCAAAGCUCCAGCCUAGGUGUUGCAAAUACAGACGACAGAUUUUUGCUCUCAGGAGGCCCUGAUUCCAGUCCUCAAACGAGUAAGUGUGAAAUUGAGUGCAGCAUUAAAGCACAAAAACAAUGAUUUGAGACGUCUUUUCUAUAAAAGAAGUUUAUAGCACUCUCAUUGAAUGCUUAAAUAGUGCCACACUGCUAAGUCGUGAGAAGCAAAAUGUAACUGCGGUGCCUCAAACAGGAUUAUUUUGUUUUAUUCAUUUGGAUGCGGACAGCUCUUUAUCUAAAAUUGCCAUUCUGAGGUGGUUUUGCACAAUAAAUUGGUAAUUAUGUAGACUGUUUCUUCCAGAGACAGCAUCUUGAAUCGGGUUUAUGAAGCCAUGCUAUCAACCUAGGUAGAAAAUGCUUUGUAGGACAUGGGUCCUGCUUAUCUAAAUUUUACCAGAUUUUAUUAGCUGUAAAUUUAUAAGCGGGUCUUGGUGAAUAGAUAAUGAAAAAAAUAUUGAGUGGGGAGGCUUAUUAGACUGACAGCACCUUCAAGACUCAUGCAAGUUGGACUGGAAAAUCCCACCUGUGGAAGUAAAACACUGAUGAGUCCUUAAUAAAUAUGGAUGAGACAAGUCAAAUAUUUGGCCAAUUUAGGUGAAACAGAAAUAAGUCUAGAACUGGACAAUUAUUUGUGUAACAUACUGGCCCAGACCUUCACUUUGAGAAGCUGGUGUGUAGUUUCAGGAGAGUACCUGGCAGACUAGUGUGUCCAUACUUCGAUGGAGCUUGAGAGUUUUCCUUGAACACAAAAGUUGUAUUUUUGAGUUUAUUCUAGUAUGAUGGUGCCCUACCCUAUCUUCCUAUUCAGUUCACCCAAAGAGCCUUUAAAUUAGUGUUCCCUUGGUCCCAUCCCUACAGUCUCUGGUUUUGCUGGUCUGGGAAUGGGUCUGGACAUCACUGUUGUUUUAAAGUUGAGAGCCUCUCUUCUGUGGUCUUGUUCCUAAAACGCUUUACUACUCACUGUGGUCUGAGGGCCCCCAGCACUGGUGUGUUAGUUUCCUGUGGCUGCCCUAAAAAAUUACCACAAACAUGGUGUCUUAAAACAACACACAUUUGUACAGUUACAGAUUCCAGAAGCCUGCAAUCAGCUCACUGGACUGCAAGGGCCACCCGCCCUCUCAGAAGCGCCGGGAGAGAACAGGUUUUCUUGCCUUCUUCAGCUGCUAGAGCUGCGUUCUUUGGCUUGCACCCCCUUCCUCUGUCUUCCAAGCCAGCGGGGCAGUCUUUUGCUUCAGUGGCCAUGUUGUCUUCUGGCACAGUCACAUCUCCCCCUGCCUCCCUCUUAGAAGGACCCUUGUGGUUACAUUUAGGGCCCCCACCUGGAUAAUCCAGGAUAAUCUCCCUAUUUCAAUUUUCUUAAUCUCAUCUGUAAAGACCCUUUUGCCAUAUAAAGUAACAUUCACAGGUUCCAGGUAUUAGGACUUGGAUAUCUUUAGAGGCCAUCAUACAGCCCACCACAAACAGCUCCUUAGGCACUCAUUAGAAAUGCAGAACCUCAGGCCCCAACCGAUACCUUUUGAAUCUUCUGAUUCUAAUUUAAGAAGAUCACCAUGUAACUCACUAGCACACUAAGACUUGAGAAGCACGAUGCUAUGGGAACCUAACCAAAGAAUUCUCAAGUCCCAACUUAAAUACAAAUUUACAGAGUAUUUUUCCUAGGAACGCUUUCAGGUGGAGGAGAUUAAUCAGACGAUAGAUAAUUUUCCUGAACACCAUUCUGAAGUGCUUCUCUAAGCAUUUGUUCCUGAAUUCUCUCUCAAUGAAGCCACAAGCCCCAAACACCAGGAUUACUGUUUACAGGGGUUCCUGUUUACAGUAGUUUAGCACAGGGUUUGCCACACUGCAGCAUAUUAUUAUAGUUUAGUUUUGUAAAAAGCUACAUGAGAGAGGUAAAUCUUAUAAAUGGAGGUGGAGUCUCCUAACACCAGUUUUACCACCUCUGUACAGGUUUCCCUGGGCUAUGUACUAUCGAAUCAGGAAUCAGGAAGGGCGGCUUUUUCAAAUGUUAUCUAUACUUUUGGCAAUUUGUUCAAACGUUCUGCUGGUAUGUGAGAGGGAAGGAAAAAUUGUUUAUUGACCACAGAUCCACAAUAUUAUACUUCUCCUAUACUUAAGCAAUAAGGGACAGCAUUUAAAACUCUUUUAAAAAUGUUAAUCUUGGCUGGGCACAGUGGCUCAUGCCUGGAUCCCCAGUAAUUUGGAACACUGAGGCAGGCAGAUUGCUUGAGGCCAGGAGUUCGAGACUAGCUUGGGCAACAUGCGAGAGCCCGUCUCUACAAAAAAAAAAAAAAAAUACAAAAAUUAUCCAGGCAUGGUGGUGCACACCUGUAGUCCCAGCUGUUGGGGAAAGCUAAGUUGGGAGGAUCCCUUGAACCCAGGAGGUUGAGGCUGCAGUAAGCUGUGAUUGAGCCACUGAGCUCCAGCCUGGGUGACAGAGCGAGAUCCUGUGUCAAAAAAUAAUUUUGAUUUCACGGAAGGAGAAGAGGACUAGUCUUAUACCAUAUCCCAAAUGAAAUUGAAAAUGUCUUCUGGGAAUCACAGCAAUGACUCAAACUUCUGAAUAGUGACUAGGUUUGAGCUGGUAAGGAAGGGAUUGUCAAAUGCCGUGACAGUCCACAGGAGGGCAGCAGUGCUCCGAUUUACAAAGGAUUAGUCAUACUAGUGUAACCUUUUCUGAGUGAGCCUAGAAAUUCUGAUGAAAACAGUGUAGUCCAGGAAAAAAAAAAAAAAAAUCUGUAUGUACAAUCACUCAAUUUUGAAUCAUUUCUGGAAGUUAUUAGACUCCAUGUUAAAUCCUACUUAAGUACAAGUAUGCAAAAUUUAAAAAUAUGCAGAAAAGCUCAUUCUUGGUUAAAAUGUUAGCUGAAAGACAUUACUAAGUUUUAGAAUACCAUAGAGUUGACUAUUUCCCACAAACCCUAAAAUCUACUUGAACACCACAAAUUCAUAUUCCUUCUAAUCCCAAGUCCCUUCAGCAUUCUUACAGAUUUAUUGUUAGUUACCUUACAAAGUAACUAACUGUCCCCAUGUAUUUUAUCCCAAUUUAAAAAAUACAUUACAGUCUCAAGGUCACAUAAGAUUUUCCAAAAUGCUCUAUUCAUAGUCAAUAUAAUUUUCAGGCCGGGUGCGGUGGCUCAUGCCUGUAAUCCCAGCACUUUGGGAGGCCAAGGUGGGCGGAUCACCUGAGGUUGGGAGUUCGAGACCAGCCUGACCAACAUGGAGAAACCCCGUCUCUACUAAAAAUACAAAAUUAGCCAGACGCGGUGGUGCAUGCCUGUAAUCCCAGCUACUCAGGAGGCUGAGUCAGGAGAAUCGCUUGAACCCAGAAGGUGGAAGCUGUGGUGAGCCGAGAUAGUGCCAUUGCACUCCAGCCUGGGCAACAAGAUCGAAACUCCAUCUCAAAAUAUGUGUGUGUGUGUGUGUGUGUGUGUGUGUGUGUGUGUAUAUAUAUAUAUAUAUAUAUACACACACACACAUAUAUAUAUAAUUUUCACCUAGUGUUUUAUUAAACAGAAUGCUUCUGUAUUUUUAUGUUUAUUUGAGACAAUGCUUCUGUAUUUCUAAACAACAGCUAGCCUUGUUCAGUUAGCCAAACAACAAAACCUUAAUUCAAGUCUUCAAUGAAAUUUUCUGAUUUAAUAGGCUGAAUUAAGAAAGCCAUAAUUUUCUUCUAUAAAUAUAAGCCUUUAACUUCUAUCUUUACAAGUUUAUAUAGAAAAAUUUACUGUGGGGCUUGAGAUUUACUAAUGCAUGGGUUUUCAACCUUAGCUGCACUUUGGAAUCAUUUAGGACGCUUGGAAAUCCCUACACCCAAACCACAUCCCAGAUCAAUUACACUAGAAAUCUCUAGGGGUGGGACCCAGGUGUCUGUAAAUAUCCCCCGGUGAUUGCAAUGUGCAGCCAUGGUUGAGAAACACUGAAGCCUGCUCUGAGAAAUUUAGCAAUCCGACUUAAUUCAAAUCUGCAGAGAGAGCAACAAUGAUUUUUGCAGAAACAACCAAAUCCUACUAGUUACAUAAAUUUUAUACUUUGUUAGGACUUGGGUUUUUAUUUAGCUCUACAUAUGCGAUCAUAGGAUGCAGAAGAUAUAUCUUCUACUGGACACGUAUAUAUAGAUGCUUAAAUGUGGCUAUCCCAAGGUUAGGUAAUAAUAAAGACUAUAAGAGCUGGGCAGAAAUCAGGCACAGUUUCAUGAAGGGUAAUAUCUGAGCUGGGCCUUGGAAGAUGCAUAGGAUCUCAACAGGACAGUAGGUGUUUCAAGCAACAAUGAACUAGGAAUACAGCAGAAAGCACAGGGGAAAUGGUCAGGCUUGACUGAGAGUAGGUUAUUUGAAGAAGUGCAAUAGAAAAUGCUUGGGGAAGAAAGUUGGGAUUUAAUUGUAAAAGGUCUUCAAGUAUCAGGCUAAGAAAUGUGGACUUCAUCCAGUAGGUAAUGUGAUGUCACUGGAUAUCUGUGCAGUAUCUAUGUGAUGGGUUGGGAGUGGAGAAGCCUGGGGAUACUUAAGGGUCUGAGCUAGGAGGGACAGGAGGAAUGGCUGUGGGAGUGGAAUGGUUAGAAGAUGGGCCCAAUUAGAAACAUACUUCAAUUUGAGACAAAACCCACUAGAAAUAAACACAUCAUCAUGAAACAUCUCCAAAUGUACAAUUUUAUUUUAACAGAUUUCAAGAGUCCAUUUUUUAAAAAAUGAGCAAUAAAGAACCUCUAUCAGUGAGACUUCUCAUUUUAUAGCAAAUACAUUAAAGUAUUUGGUUGAAUAUACUUCAAU
rnacentral:lncRNA from 1 species